rnacentral:lncRNA from 14 species
CGGCGGCCGCGCUGUCGGGGCGAUGGAGCCGCGGCCCUGAUGAGGAUUGAUCACCCUACCCCCGGCCCUACCCUUGUAUGUGCGCGCAAAGCAUCUGCGUAACCAGCCCGGCGCCAAUCCCCGGCCGCCUCCCCGCCUGACUGACAGCCGCCCGGGCAAUGGCAGCGCAGGGCGACGGCUCCCUCCGCCGCCCCCCCACCCCCCGCCCCGCGCCGCUCCGCGCUCCCCCGCGCACCCACCGCCGGUGAUCCCAACCGGGCCCCGGCGCUGCGGACAGCGGGUGGCGGAGCCCAGCGGGUGGAGCGGGGGUGGGGGUGAGCGCGGAGGGCCCCGCGUAACCUCCGCGGAGCUGCUGGGGGGGUGGGAAUGGUUACAGAAGUUGUGAGGGGGGAGCUCCUGCGCGGCCGCGCAGCUCUGCCCCUUCCCCGGCACCUCCGUGGCUGCUCUGAGCCCUCCGUCACCGGACGCGGAAAAGUUUCGGCGGCCGCUUGGGCCGGCGCGGAGGGCGCUGCUGGAGGCGGGGAUGGUGCAGGGAGCAGCGGGGAGCCGGGAGAAGCGGGGUCCAGGAUCCCCCCCCGCCCCUCCCUUCAGUGUCUGCAGACUCGCCCAAACUUUGUGCUUAAAAUAGGAAUAAAGAAGCAGCAGCCGCACCUUUACCGCGAGUCCCGCGUUCAGCGGCUGCUCCGCGCCCAGGGGGAGCGGGGGUUUGGAGGGGGUUGGACGGGAUGGAACUCACCGCUCCGCACCGCUCCGCACCGCUCCGCGCAGCCCGACUCGUUCCCCGCAGCGGAGAGGCGCGGACGGAGCGCGGAGAAGUGGGGAACUCGGAGCGCACGGGCGGAGGAGCGGCCCCGGACCUCUAACGAGGGCUCCGGUGCGCGGCUUUUGUUGGGCUCCCCAAAUCAACUCCCUCUAAUUGCAGUGGGAGCUGAAAGCGAGCUAAUGUUCCAGGCGCUGCCCAUCGGCCCCUCCGAAGAGAUGCUUUCCUCCUUAGCCCCCCAUUUUACUUCUUUUUCCCCCCUCUUUUCCCCGUUUUUUCCCGGGCCAGGACGGAACCGUCUAAUCCAGGCGGGAGGGUGCCGAUGGGCCGAGGGGGGCAGAGAAAAGGAGGUUUGCAAGCUCCUCCGCUUGCCCAUAAAAGUCAGCGACACGGGCACUUCUCCCCGCAACAAAGGCGCCGCGGCCCAUUCACAAAAAGCAAAGGGAGGGGGAGGAGGGAGGAGGAAUGAUUUAGGGGGACAGUUCCCCCCACCCUCCAGCCCCCCCUGUUUAGCCCCGGUCCCGCUGGGGCAGUUCCCGGCCGGGCUGCGUUCCCCCCUCCGCCGUCCCAUCAUUUCUCCCGCCGGGGCAGCCCCGGUCC